rnacentral:sRNA from 1 species
UGAAAGAGUUGAAAUUUCUGAAAAUUCUAUGUGUUAUUCCAAAUACAUCUUCACUCCAGCUGAUAAAACUUAAAGGUCUGUAGAGUGUGUGUGUGUGUGUGUGUGUGUGUGUGUGUGUGUGUGUUUGAUUUCUCUUAGGAACAGAGACUGAGACAAGCAUUCUUUGAAAACAGUUCAU